GGUGUAGCUCAGUGGUAGAGUGCUUGCCUAGCGUACGCAAGAUCCUCCCUGGGUUCAAUCCCCAGCACUACCA
rnacentral:tRNA from 1 species